UUUUGAUUUGCUGUGACACCUUGAUUGCUGCACGGAUGAGUCACCACACCACUCCUAUAUCCACACUGCAGCCCAUGGAAGACCUCUCCCCAUGGAGAGGAACCCAUUCGGAAGCAGGAUUCAGGCAGGAGCUGCAGCCUGUGGAGGAGGAUCCAUCCUGGAACAUGUUUAUCUGGAGGAACUGCAGCCCUGCCAAAGUUUAAGUUUUUUCCCCAGAAUCUGCCAAGGCAGCUCAUGCAUUCAUCCUCUGUAGUGGUAGAGAGGAGGGACAUAAAGGACUGAAUAUUUCUGUAUCUGCAAUAUAUUAGUGUAUUUAUGAAAGACACCAUGGGGAAGACCUUCUACAUAAUUUCGAAGGCUGGCUUUUGCUUAAUUUCAUGCUUUGAAGACAUGUGCAUUCCCAGUUUCUUUCACUUUUUUCCCUAUGCAUUCUAUUAUUAUCUUUUUGCCUAUCCACUUGUAAACAAUUUCUAAGCUGACGUAUGUGAACAAGCUGCUUGGAAUGAUCUUCACAGACAGAGUGCUCUACCAAUUGGUUUCCUGAAUGAAGUACAUAUCCAUACCAUUUCCUUGAUCUUCUAGGCUCCUAUGGGAACAAAUGUUCAGUGUCAGGCUGGUACUAUACGUCCAUUUAAUUGAGCUGAGAGAACUCUACUGCCCUCGAAGAAAGCUCAUCUCUUCUCUCCGUGGAUGUGACUAUAGAGCUAGCAGAUAAUAUCUCACUCAUUAUUUAUACAACCACGUAAUUAUCUCCCAGAGAUUCCCCAUUUUGUAGAAGUUUCUUUUUUGGAAACAUCAUCUGUUGGCUGAAUGGAAAGCCAAAUACAGCCUCCGAUACUGUGACAGUGAGUGCCAGAGCAUCCUUUGCUAACACACGUGGGAAACAGCACAGGAGUCUGCAGUACCACUCACAUGGGGGAUGUACUCCUGGCAUUACACUGGAUCUGUUUAAUUCUCUUGCAAAAUGCAAGCACAUGUGCAAGAUCAACAGUACACAAAACACA